rnacentral:rRNA from 1 species
CCUACGGGAGGCAGCAGUGGGGAAUCUUGCGCAAUGGGCGAAAGCCUGACGCAGCAACGCCGCGUGCGGGAUGAAGGCCUUCGGGUUGUAAACCGCUUUCAGCAGGGAAGAAAUUGACGGUACCUGCAGAAGAAGCCCCGGCCAACUACGUGCCAGCAGCCGCGGUAACACGUAGGGGGCGAGCGUUGUCCGGAUUUAUUGGGCGUAAAGAGCUCGUAGGCGGUUCGGUAAGUCGGGUGUGAAACCUCCAGGCUCAACCUGGAGACGCCACCUGAUACUGCUGUGACUAGAGUCCGGUAGGGGAGUGUGGAACUCCUGGUGUAGCGGUGAAAUGCGCAGAUAUCAGGAAGAACACCAGCGGCGAAGGCGGCACUCUGGGCCGGUACUGACGCUGAGGAGCGAAAGCGUGGGUAGCAAACAGGAUUAGAUACCCUGGUAGUCCACGCCGUAAACGUUGGGCACUAGGUGUGGGUCUCAACCACGAGAUCCGUGCCGCAGCUACGCAUAAGUACGCCCGCCGUCGGGUAGGUACGGCCGGCGACGGACGUAAACCGUACGAAAGUAGAAGUUAAGUACGGCGUUGAGACGUUGCCGAACGGCGACCGACGAGGGGAGGAGG